GACGAACGCUGGCGGCGUGCUUAACACAUGCAAGUCGAACGGAAAGGCCCUGCAUUUGUGGGGUGCUCGAGUGGCGAACGGGUGAGUAACACGUGAGUAACCUGCCCUUGACUUUGGGAUAACUUCAGGAAACUGGGGCUAAUACCGGAUAGGAGCUCCUGCUGCAUGGUGGGGGUUGGAAAGUUUCGGCGGUUGGGGAUGGACUCGCGGCUUAUCAGCUUGUUGGUGGGGUAGUGGCUUACCAAGGCUUUGACGGGUAGCCGGCCUGAGAGGGUGACCGGCCACAUUGGGACUGAGAUACGGCCCAGACUCCUACGGGAGGAAGCAGUGGGGAAUAUUGCACAAUGGGCGGAAGCCUGAUGCAGCAACGCCGCGUGCGGGAUGACGGCCUUCGGGUUGUAAACCGCUUGCGCCUGUGACGAAGCGUGAGUGACGGUAAUGGGUAAAGAAGCACCGGCUAACUACGUG
rnacentral:rRNA from 1 species